rnacentral:rRNA from 1 species
UUUUGAUUCCNGNCUCAGGNNCNAACNCUGGCGGCGUNCCUAAUNCAUGCAAGUCGAGCNGNCAGAUGGGAGCUUGCUCCNNNNUGUUAGCGGCNGACGGGUGAGUAACACGNGGGUANCNUNCCNGUAAGACUGGGAUAACUCCGGGAANCCGGGNCUAAUACCGGAUGCUUGUNUGAACCGCAUGGUUCAAACAUAAAAGGNGNCUUCGGCUACCACUUACAGANGGACCCGCGGCGCAUUAGCUAGNUGGUGAGGUAAUGGCUCACCAAGGCAACGAUGCGUAGCCGACCUGAGAGGGUGAUCGGCCACACUGGGACUGAGACACGGCCCAGACUCCUACGGGAGGCAGCAGUAGGGAAUCUUCCGCAAUGGACGAAAGUCUGACGGAGCAACGCCGCGUGAGUGAUGAAGGUUUUCGGAUCGUAAAGCUCUGUUGUUAGGGAAGAACAAGUACCGUUCGAAUAGGGCGGUACCUUGACGGUACCUAACCAGAAAGCCACGGCUAACUACGUNCCAGCAGCCGCGGUAAUANGUAGGUGGCAAGCGUUGUCCGGAAUUAUUGGGCGUAAAGGGCUCGCAGGCGGUUUCUUAAGUCUGAUGUGAAAGCCCCCGGCUCAACCGGGGAGGGUCAUUGGAAACUGGGGAACUUGAGUGCAGANGAGGAGAGUGGAAUUCCNCGUGUAGCGGUGAAAUGCGUAGAGAUGNGGAGGAACACCCGUGGCGAAGGCGACUCUCUGGUCUGUAACUGACGCUGAGGAGCGAAAGCGUGGGGAGCGNACAGGAUUAGAUNCCCUGGUAGUCCACGCCGUAAACGAUGANNCCNACNNNNAGGGGGUUUCCGCCCCUUAGUGCNGCAGCUAACGCCNUNAGCACUCCGC